UCCCUUUUAGCUCAGUUGGUAAAGAAUCUGCCUACAAUGCAGGAGACCUGGGUUCGAUUCCUGGGUUGGGAA
rnacentral:tRNA from 1 species